AACGAACGCUGGCGGCAGGCCUAACACAUGCAAGUCGAGCGGACCCUUCGGGGUUAGCGGCGGACGGGUGAGUAACGCGUGGGAAUAUGCCCUUCUCUACGGAAUAGUCCUGGGAAACUGGGGGUAAUACCGUAUACGCCCUUUGGGGGAAAGAUUUAUCGGGGAAGGAUUAGCCCGCGUUGGAUUAGGUAGUUGGUGGGGUAAUGGCCUACCAAGCCGACGAUCCAUAGCUGGUUUGAGAGGAUGAUCAGCCACACUGGGACUGAGACACGGCCCAGACUCCUACGGGAGGAAGCAGUGGGGAAUCUUAGACAAUGGGGGCAACCCUGAUCGAGCCAUGCCGCGUGAGUGAUGAAGGCCUUAGGGUUGUAAAGCUCUUUCAGCUGGGAAGAUAAUGACGGUACCAGCAGAAGAAGCCCCGGCUAACUCCGUG
rnacentral:rRNA from 1 species